rnacentral:misc_RNA from 1 species
GUCUCGUUCAGGAUCAGGGCGAAGCCGAUGCCGAGCACCACCUGAAGCACGAUCGACCCGAGGGAAUAAAGCACGCCGUUCCAGAGGGCGCGCCAGAACUCCGGCAACUUCAGAAUUGCGAUGUAGUUGUCGAAACCGACCCACUUGGCUUCACCUACGAACGAAUCGAGCUUGUAGAAGCUCAGGCUGAUCGCAUACGCCACCGGCG